rnacentral:rRNA from 1 species
AUUGAACGCUGGCGGCAGGCCUAACACAUGCAAGUCGAGCGAGCGGCGGACGGGGGAGUAAUGUAUGGGGACUGCCCGAUAGAGGGGGAUAACUACUGGAAACGGUGGCUAAUACAGCAUACUAUCGGAUAACCCAUAUGGGAUUAGAUAGUAGUUGGGGUAAAGGCUCACCUAGGCGACGAUCUCUAUCUGGUCUGAGAGGAUGAUCAGCCCGACUGUGCCCUAGUCACGGCCCUGACUCGUACGGAGGCAGAAGUGGCGAAUAUUGCACAAUGGGUGCAAGCCUGAAGCAGCAAUGUCGCGUGUAUGAAGAAGGCCUUAGGGUUGUAAAGUUCUUUCGGUAGCGAGGCGUUAACUACAGCAGAAGCACCGGCUAACUCCGUGCCAGCAGCCGCGGUAAUAC